CGUUGCUCCUUACCUGGUGCCACCUCUACGUUCAGGCUCUCAUGUUUCUUGUUUUUUCUCAUAUUCCCUGUAUUCUGUCGCUCCAGUCACUAACCCUGUCUUUCUGUCUGUUUUCCCUCCCAGGUUCACUCACCCUCGUCCUCCGUUCAGUCGGCUGGGCUCAUCCUCCGGUCCUCUCCUCUCGGUCUUCCUCCACGGCGCCCUCCCGGCUCCUCCCUGCUCCUCGCCUCACCACCCAUGCUUCGCCUGCUCCUCGGUCCUCCGUGCCCGCAUCCCCUGGUGUCCACCUCUCCUCCCUCACCUCUUCCCUAGCCCCCUCCGUGAACCCUCAAUAAAACCUCCUUCCCUCUGAGUGUUGCGUUUGGGUCCUUUCUGUCCCGUCUCCUAACAUCUUCUUCAGCAUGCGGUGUUCGGGCGAACCUCGCAACAAAUAAAACAGCUGAGGCAGGGAUUGCAAAACUCCAUGUUGUUGCCACUGUUGGAGGCCAGGCCAGAUGUAGUACCAUUGGUUUUUCCACGUCAAUCAAUGGUUGAAUGCACUACUCAGUGAUUCAAGACAAACUGAAGCAGCUGGUAAAAUUCUGGGUGGGCUGGGAGCUGCCCGUGGAAGUUGUGCAGGCAGACCAUCCAAGAUCAUCCACCUGUUUCCACAUCCUGCGCUUGCCUGGUCACUACACCGGUUAUGAAGAGUUUUGCAAUCAUCUGGAAGGUUGCAUUGCAACUAAUGAUUGUGGGUUUGGACUAAUAUGAAGUCUGAGUUUUGCUGCAUACCAUUGUUAGGGCACACUGCACAUCACCCAUGCAUGUUUAGAAAGUGUGUAGUUUGUGACAUAAAUAGUCAGUAGAUGGCAGCCUUUUGUGUUCUAUGAGGAACAAGUUCUAAAUUCAUGAGGUCUCUUCAUUUUCUGGUUUCCUUUAAAUUGAAUCUUUACAUUGAUUCACGUAUCAAAUGUUUACAGCCUCGAAGCCCAUGAGGGAUUCUGAAAACACAACUAUAUCAUUUAAAAAAAGAGAAACGACUGUUUUUUUUUUUGUU